ACUGCUCAGUAACACGUGGAUAACCUACCCUAAGGUGGGAGAUAACCCCGGGAAACUGGGGAUAAUACCCCAUAGUCUAUGGAAGCUGGAAUGCUCUAUAGUUGAAAGAUUUAUCGCCUUAGGAUGGGUCUGCGGCCGAUUAGGUAGUUGUUGGGGUAACGGCCCAACAAGCCUUUGAUCGGUACGGGUUGUGGGAGCAAGAGCCCGGAGAUGGAUUCUGAGACACGAAUCCAGGCCCUACGGGGCGCAGCAGGCGCGAAAACUUUACAAUGCGGGAAACCGUGAUAAGGGAACUCCGAGUGCCCGUAAACGCGGGCUGUCCAUCUGCUUAAAAAACAGGUGAAGAAAGGGCCGGGCAAGACCGGUGCCAGCCGCCGCGGUAAUACCGGCGGCUCGAGUGGUGGCCACUAUUACUGGGCUUAAAGCGUCCGUAGCUUGGUUGUUAAGUCUCUUGGGAAAUCUGUCGGCUUAACCGACAGGCGUUUAAGGGAUACUGGCAAUCUAGGGACCGGGAGAGGUGAGAGGUACUCCAGGGGUAGGAGUGAAAUCCUGUAAUCCUUGGGGGACCACCUGUGGCGUAGGCGUCUCACCAGAACGGCUCCGACAGUGAGGGACGAAAGCUGGGGGAGCAAACCGGAUUAGAUACCCGGGUAGUCCCAGCCGUAAACGAUGCGCGUUAGGUGUAUCGGUGACCACGAGUCACCGAGGUGCCGAAGGGAAACCGUGAACGUGCCGCCUGGGAAAGUACGUCGCAAGGCUGA
rnacentral:rRNA from 1 species